rnacentral:lncRNA from 1 species
UCAAUUUGUGCAACAGUUUCUUUUGUGAUGCUUGUGUGUGUAAAACUUGGACAACAAAGUCUGUCCACAUGAAAAUGCAACUGUUGUAUGAUUCUCAUCAAACAAGAAAGCAGAAUGCUAUAUCUAUUAUGUGAUACAACAGUCCAAAUAUAUCAGUUGUAGGUUAUUCAACGUCACACAACAGUAAAGAUAGGGAAUAAACCGUUGUAGCUUACUGAAAAAUACACAACGAUAGAAAUGAAAACCAACAGUUGUCUGAAAAGGUAAAAAUACAACGAAAAUGUUUUAUUGUUUGUUGUCUAAGUGGACUUGUCGAUGCCGCGCAUGGCAUCGAUCUGCGCAGCGACUUAUACAACGAAAGUAUUGAACUGUUGAGAAAAAUGUGAUCACACAACGGUGAUUUCCACACUUAUCUGAAGAUUCAAUCAGACAAGCCCGAGAUAUACAACGGAAAACCUAUAGUCACACAACGGUGUUCCAACAGAAGUAUGAGCAUUACGAUAGAGGGCAAGACAAGGGCAAACAACAUGACACCUCCCGGGAUAACAACCAGGGAUGUGGUUCAGACCGUCGCCAUAGUGGGCAGCGGGGACGGGACCAUCCUUAUCGGUCCCAAGAGCAGAGCCCCCAGCAGCAACAACGUCGCUCCUCCCCGUCACCCCGUUAUGAGGUCCACACUACCCUGACCACUACAUAUGAAGAUAUAUGGGCCAAGCAUAAAGACCUCAUGACACGACCCACCCCAAAUUUCAUCCUGAAACCCAGAGUAAGUCGUGCGGGGACCACCUCCAAGGAAAAUUUACCGAAAAAUCGGCUUAACCUCCCUUGAAAAUGGACUACCCUUCCUAAUAAUACCUGCAAACACUUUUGAAAAUUUAAAUCCAACCUUAAACUCCUGGAGCCUCCGUGCUCCCCAAAUCACAACACCACCCAAAUUAUUUACUAAUCUAAACAAAUCUCAUAUCCAACCAUUUAUAGGUUUAGAGCAACUCUAACAGGAAGAAAGGAAACAUAAUAAAUUAACAAACGGAAGCUAUAUGAUGACUAUGCCUCAUCCCCAUGUACGCCCGACCUCAACUAUGCAAUCCUGCAAACUGGGCAUUUUUAAAACGAAGAGCCCAAGGGAAAACAUUUGAAACAAGUUAGAGUGAGUGGACAAAAAUAAAUUAACGAAUAAAAUAUUUAUGUUUCCCUAAAUCAAUUUCCAAGGAAAAUCGAAUGCAUGCUGCAAGCGAUAAAACUUUUAUCUCAUAAAUGUCGAGCCUCUCAGGCUUUAUAAUAUAUGUAUGUAUUUACACACGUCCAUACUCCCUAUAUAAAUUCAUGGGUCUAUAUAGGGCUACUACGCUCGCGUCCAACGCUCACGUCACGUCUUAAUGCGGUGCUACACUACGCCAUUAAGGUGGACAGACGGGUGUAUAAAUAUGUGCCCAUACCCCCUAUAUGAAUUAAACACUCAUAUAGGGCUACUACACUCACGUCCAACGCUCACGUCACACCAUAAUGCGGCUAUAUGCUACGCCAUUAAGGUGGACAGACACAUAUGGCUAGCUAGCAUUUAUAUACAUACUCUCUCAUAAAUACAUAUUUAUAUCCACCGAAAAUCCCAUUUGCUCCUCGGCGGACGGCGGCGGGAGGACGGCCGGAAAAUUGGGCAGCGGGAGGAGCUCGGGGAGAGAGAAAACCGGGAAGAAAAAAAAAAAAGAGAAGGGAGAAAAUGGCUUUGGGCCUCCUCCCCCCAAACCGGUCCAACUUAAUACCCAUUUGAAAACAAACCCAACUCCAAAAAUAAAACACCCCGAAAAUAAUACCCGAAUAAAAAUUACCUUUUACUAGCUAAAAUUUACUAUUUUUACCGUUGUCAUAUUUUCUCCCACGAAUAAUUCCCCGAAAUUAAUCGUCUCUCAAAACACCUCUAGGGACCGAUUAAACUAUUACCUCAAUGAAGGAGACAGUAAAAUUCUUAUUAUAACCAAGCUAGUAAAUAAGGUAAAAAUUUAAGGGUCGGGAUGUGACAAUUCUCCCCUCCUUAUAAAAAUUUCGUCCUCGAAAUUUACAUACCUGACAAUCAAAAAGAUAGGGAUACUGCUGCCUCAUUUGCUCCUCUGAUUCCCAAGUAGCUUCCCCUACUUGAUGACUCCUCCACAGAACUUUAACAAGAGGAAAAAGAUUUGCAUCUAGCACUUGCUCCUUUAGGUCGAGAAUCUGAACCGGCUCCUCAUCAUAGGCCAAAACUUUUUUCCCAAUUAAUCGACUGCUCUCGCAACACAUGAGAGAGAUCGGCAAUAAACUUGCGAAGCAUGGAUACAUGAAACACAUUAUGUAUCCUGGAUAACUCUAGAGGCAAAACUAACUGAAACACAAGAGAGCCAACUUGAUCUAAAAACCCAUAAGGACCAAUAAAUCUCGGACCAAGCUUUUCACGUUACCAAAACGUACCACCCCUUUCCAAGGGGAUAAUUUCGAAAAACACUCAAACACUCACUUGAAACUCAUGGUCCUUCCUGCGGACAUCUUUAUAACUCUUCUGGCUACUAAGAGCUGCUUUGAGUCUAUCUCUGACUCUUUUAACCUUUUCAUUUCUCAAAGACUCUAAAUCCUUCGUUGAACUAUCACUAACGUUUGCACGUAAGUGAGUUCAGUGAUACCUGCUCCAGAGUACGAGUACCUGUAGGUAUGCACACUCUUUCCUGAGCAAUGGAAAUAGCUAACCCAAAUAAAACGCAUAAAUUUGCUAUCACCAUCGGGCUCAAAUCUCCUAACAUCACGCAACAACCUCGUCAUUACGUUGCUCACAGCUCGACAAUGAAGCCCACUUGCUAGGAAACUAAAAUUCACACAUUCCCACAUGCUCAUAGGGGUCAAAAUUAAGACCCGAUAAUUGAACAGAUUUUUAAGGAUGCACACACUACAACAAUCACUCCUAUUUCUGAGACACCUCGCAGAGUCUUUCGCGGAGCCAAAGCUCUCGCAAGUCCACAAGAUAACCUUGCUCUACCUAAAUGACCAGUCCACCAACAUAUGAUAACCUCGAUUGCCUAAAUAACAUUAUGAAAAGAUCAAUACCACGACACUUAGAUCUCUCCACCAAAACUAUUACAUUACCAUUUUAUGCACCACAAACUAGCAACUUAUGGGAAUUUCCAACUCUCUCCUGAUUCUGCUAUCUCCACUAUUAUUUACCACAAACCAGAAGAUAAUCUGAAGCAUGACUAACAUGUGGAAACUGGAUAUUCCUCCUUGCUCGCCAUAAACAAAAAACUAAUUAAUGCCCACGAAGAUUGGCACAGUCAAUUCAUGAUGCCAAACUUGACGUUGAAAUCCACAUAAAUAGAACACCUUCCUUAAGCAUUGACAAAAAUUUACAUCUCCAGCCAUGCUACUUAUUCGGGUGCAACUACGACCCCAAGAGCAGUAAUUAAAAGCACACGGCUCACGCUAGCCGUUCCAUAAGAAUGAUUCUAAAUACCAAAACCUUUGAAUCCGACAAAUACAUUUCCUUUUUUUUUUUUUUUUUUUUUUUAAUUUUACCUUUUACCUCUAACAACAAUAAAUCUGAUAGCAGAAAACAAUCUGAAAAUCAGAUAUGCUCAAGUCUCCUCCACAUCCUAGGGCCACGACUUCCCACCAAAAAGAUUCUUCGAAAACCGAGCUUGCAAUAACAUGCGACUAACAAAAGCAAAGAAAAAUUUUUAUACAAGACCCACUACUACACCUUGUGGUUCACCAACUAACGAAAACCAUGAAUUCAAGCAAGAAUCAAAACUCAUGGCUUAACUCAGCUCAAGCUCCAAAAGAAAUAAUUUAAAGCACACGAAAAGCAAGUCCUCUAACUUCGAGCUCAAAAGCUCCACAGAUCUCCGAUAUCCGCCAGAACCCGCUUCGAAAUCACACUAGAAACCUCCACUAAUCAUCCUGACACCAACAGAUAAACGCACAACCAAAAAGCAAAGACCUCCCAAACAAAAACUUGGAUCAAUGAGUGGUCCCACCACAAAACGAUCCUGAGAAGAGACGUUGAUCAACCUAUCAAUAAAUCUACUAUUCGCCAUAAUAAUCUCUUAAUAAACCUUGACUCGAAAAUCUUCUUGAGUCAACAGGGGAAAACCUUCUCCCAUAAUGCUACAUCAUGAAAUAUACCUACAAUAGAGACCAAAAUCAUCAGAAAACUUACUAUUCAUCAACUACUAACAUCCAUCAUUUCAAAAUAUAUUACCACUACCAUCUGGAUAAAAUGCUCUAAGGAUAGAAACAUAUCCAUAAUUAGCACUGCAGAAACCAGAACAUAUACCGCCAUAACCAAAAUUAUCCCAACAUGUUCCCAAUUGAUUUAUGUUGCGGAUAAAAUUGUCGGCAAAAUAGCCUUCAAUCAAGACUUAUCUAAAUUCACAUUUAGCUCUUUAUGCAGCAAUACCUUACCACCCAAUCACUAGCCACAAAUUUCCUAAAACCUUGAUUAACCCAAGACUAGGGUCCUCAACAACUCAUAUAGGUACCCCUUUGAAUUACCAUUGGAUACCUCACCUCAUCAUUUCAACUAACUUUUUCAUCAAUAGAAUACACCACUAUUUCGAACUUUCCUUUCAACUCAACUCUCUUAGAAGUCACGUAACUCAAUACCAAAAUCUCCCAUCAAUCAAUUUUUGACUCCAAUCUUGCCCACUAAAAAAAUGGACAACUCCAAGGCAUUAAUCAUCAACAUUUCACCCAACAUAUUUGCAGAAGAUGCUCACCUUAGCAUCUUAAUCUGAAACCUUAAUCUUAAUUAACCCAAUCAAUCAUUGGAUACCUGAAAGGAAUGCUAACAAGCUUUUUCGUUCCCCACUCGCAAAACAACUCCAACAAUUAAUAUCAAAGAUAUUAAAUUAAUGAACUUUGGAAUAGGUGCAAACUAUACACCUUUUCAAAACUCGAAGGAUGAACACUCAAGAGGUCAGCGUACUAAGGCAUAGUUUUAGAGAUGUAGACAUUUAUGGCACACUACUGUCCAUAAAUAAAAGAAGAACAACUACAUCACAACCCUAAUCAACACAUAGUGUCUUAAGCAUAUAAUGCUAAUAGAUCCGCCGCGGUUGGACAAUCACUCUAUAGACACUAAGUGCGACCAAGAAUAUAAGGUAGUACUAAAAAAAGAAAGGAAACGAAUAACCUAGUGCUCUGAUACCAACUGACACGACCCACCCCAAAUUUCACCCUGAAACCCAGAGUAAGUCGUGCGGGGACCACCUCCAAGGAAAAUUUACUGAAAAAUCGGCAUAACCUCCCUUGAAAAUGGACAACCCUUCCUAAUAAUACCUGCAAACACUUUUGAAAAUUUAAAUCCAACCUUAAACUCCUGGAGCCUCCGUGCUCCCCAAAUCACAACACCACCCAAAUUAUUUACUAAUCUAAACAAAUCUCAUAUCCAACCAUUUAUAGGUUCAGAGCAACUCUAACAGGAAGAAAGGAAACAUAAUAAAUUAACAAGCGGAAGCUAUAUGAUGACUAUGCCUCAUCCCCAUGUACGCCCGACCUCAACUAUGCAAUCCUGCAAACUGGGCAUUUUUAAAACGAAGAGCCCAGGGGAAAACAUUUGAAACACAUUAGAGUGAGUGGACAAAAAUAAAUUAACGAAUAAAAUAUUUAUGUUUCCCCAAAUCAAUUUCCAAGGAAAAUCGAAUGCAUGCUGCAAGCGAUAAAACUUUUAUCUCAUAAAUGUCGAGCCUCUCAGGCUUUAUAAUAUAUGUAUGUAUUUACACACGUCCAUACUCCCUAUAUAAAUUCAUGGGUCUAUAUAGGGCUACUACGCUCGCGUCCAACGCUCACGUCACGCCUUAAUGCGGUGCUACACUACGCCAUAAGGUGGACAGACGGGUGUAUAAAUAUGUGCCUAUACCCCUUAUAUGAAUUAAACACUCAUAUAGGGCUACUACGCUCGCGUCCAACGCUCACGUCACAUCAUAAUGCGGCUAUAUGCUACGCCAUUAAGGUGGACAGACACAUAGGGCUAGCUAGCUUUUAUAUACAUACUCUCUCAUAAAUACAUAUUUAUAUCCACCGAAAAUCCCAUUUUCGGUAACUCUCCAAGAGAAAUAAAAAUCGUCAAAAUUAAAAUGACGUCAAAAUGUUCCACAACAUUAAUUGUUCAUCUAUGAACUAUAGCAUGCAUUUUAUUUAAAACAAAAGUCCACUCACAACUCUAGGCAUAAGCCCGACGAAAUCCAAAUCGCCACUCCAGAGAGGUUUCCUUGAACCCUGGCACAAAUACAAAAUUAAUUUCCCAACUAAAACUCCAAUAUUUAAACAAAAUAGGCAAAAUUAACCGAGAGCCAUAACUACGCUCAUCAUUGCCUAACUUCAAUAUUCUUAAAUCGAAACGAUCCGAACUUAAAUAUCAUACUCGGCAGCCGUAAUUACAACCUCCCCAAAAAUACGACUUCGGAAAUUCAUAAACCUAUCCAAAACUCAUACAAAAAUUUCAUAACUCACUUCAACAAACUCCCCUUAAUAUUCUAAAUUUAAAACCCUAAAAAUCUUCCAAACAGUGGCGGCGGCUCCGCCGGUAGCGGCGGCCGGAGGCCGAUUCCGGCGACCUCCAAAUCCUACCAAAUUUUAACAGUAGCUUCCUCUCCACUCCCUCUACAACUUUCCUAACUAGCACAAACCCAAAAUCCAAGCCUAACUAGGUCAAACGAGCAAAAACAUCUAAAACACCCUAGAACUUCCACCUCUAAUUUCUCCUUACCUGAAGCGAACCGGAGUGAGCCCUUUUAGGGCAAGGCAGCUGGGUUGGAGACCUUCAAAACCGUACCAAGCUUGCCCGGAUUGGUGGCCGGAGGAGGGAGUUCCGGCGAAGUGAAGCUUUGGACAGUCGGACCUUUAGGGGGAGAGCACUCUUUCACGACGGAGCUAGGGAAGCUGCUACCGAUCCAGGGAGGUAGCUGGGAUGAUGGCCUACCGAACGGGACCGGUGCGGUAGNNNNN